UAUUAAAAAUUUCAUCUAUUUCUACUAUUAAAAAUUGACAUGACUAAUGAAAUACCAAGACAAGUGUGUGUACUCUCAUUUUGACGUACAAGGACCAGUUUUAUCAGUAGAAAUAAAUAGAAUUUUUAACA
rfam:Gossypium hirsutum cultivar TM-1 chromosome 5, whole genome shotgun sequence